rnacentral:lncRNA from 1 species
GCCUAGCCAUUCCUACGUUAAUAAGGAAAUCGCAAAAGUAGCUCCGAGGCGCAGAAUCAUAUUUCGCGGUAUAGGAAACGCGCCAACUCAAGGCAGUGGUGAAUGGUGUUUUUUUGGUAUGUGUGACGUUUUGCAACCAUGUGGGCUGUAUAACCUCAAUUCCUCCGAUUUAGUCCAUUUAUCAGUUUGCAAAUUUUCGAAAUUUUUUUUUUUCGGUUUUGUUGUUAAUUUUUUUUGUUCCAAUGUCAGAAUUUUAGUGCAAGAAUAUGUCUUUCAAAACGAAAGUCGAUGUGGAUCGACAUGCAGAAGGUGUAUUUCGUAAAUGCCUUUCUGAUCACGAUAAAAAAUUGAAAUCUCUUGUCAUCGGAAAACUAUAUCUGUCAGUCAAGGCCUAUGAUAAUGCUGUUCGCCACUUCCAAGCUUUCCUAUCUGUCAAUGAGAACUCACCUGAGACUUACAAGUUGAUUGGCAAAUGUUUUCAACAGUUGGGAAAACCAGAAAAAGCAAUCGCCUCUUACAAACGUUCAUUAGAACUAGAACCACCUCAACCAGCACUUGUAUUACUCAUCUGUGAGUUAAUCACAGUAUGAAUUUAGUAGAUGUUGGCAUCAACUCGGCUCGUCACUGGUAUGAAAAGGGCAGUGAAUUAUUUCCCAACAAUGCAGUUAUCACCAAUCUCAGACAAAAAAUCGUUGUUGCUGAAAAUAAGGAUCCCAAAGCAGUAGAAAACUUCUACCUGUCGGAAUUAAGAUCCAAUCCAAAUGAUGAGAUUCUCCUCAUCAACUUACUGAAUUUAUACGUGAGCUCCAAACAGUUCGCUGCAGCUCACAAGAAAAUAAUGAGUACCAAGGAAAUCCAGCCUUUCAUCAAAGUUUGGAAUGGCACAGGUGUCUUAGAAAAGUCUACAAGCUUUGUCUUCAAGACACCUCAUCAGAUCAGGUGA